rnacentral:rRNA from 1 species
GAGUUGCGAACGGGUGAGUAACGCGUAGGUAACCUGCCUGGUAGCGGGGGAUAACUAUUGGAAACGAUAGCUAAUACCGCAUAAUAUUGAUUAUUGCAUGAUAAUUGAUUGAAAGAUGCAACUGCAUCACUACCAGAUGGACCUGCGUUGUAUUAGCUAGUAGGUGAGGUAACGGCUCACCUAGGCGACGAUACAUAGCCGACCUGAGAGGGUGAUCGGCCACACUGGGACUGAGACACGGCCCAGACUCCUACGGGAGGCAGCAGUAGGGAAUCUUCGGCAAUGGACGAAAGUCUGACCGAGCAACGCCGCGUGAGUGAAGAAGGUUUUCGGAUCGUAAAGCUCUGUUGUAAGAGAAGAACGGGUGUGAGAGUGGAAAGUUCACACUGUGACGGUAUCUUACCAGAAAGGGACGGCUAACUACGUGCCAGCAGCCGCGGUAAUACGUAGGUCCCGAGCGUUGUCCGGAUUUAUUGGGCGUAAAGCGAGCGCAGGCGGUUAGAUAAGUCUGAAGUUAAAGGCUGUGGCUUAACCAUAGUACGCUUUGGAAACUGUUUAACUUGAGUGCAGAAGGGGAGAGUGGAAUUCCAUGUGUAGCGGUGAAAUGCGUAGAUAUAUGGAGGAACACCGGUGGCGAAAGCGGCUCUCUGGUCUGUAACUGACGCUGAGGCUCGAAAGCGUGGGGAGCGAACAGGAUUAGAUACCCUGGUAGUCCACGCCGUAAACGAUGAGUGCUAGGUGUUAGGCCCUUUCCGGGGCUUAGUGCCGCAGCUAACGCAUUAAGCACUCCGCCUGGGGAGUACGACCGCAAGGUUGAAACUCAAAGGAAUUGACGGGGGCCCGCACAAGCGGUGGAGCAUGUGGUUUAAUUCGAAGCAACGCGAAGAACCUUACCAGGUCUUGACAUCCCGAUGCCCGCUCUAGAGAUAGAGUUUUACUUCGGUACAUCGGUGACAGGUGGUGCAUGGUUGUCGUCAGCUCGUGUCGUGAGAUGUUGGGUUAAGUCCCGCAACGAGCGCAACCCUUAUUGUUAGUUGCCAUCAUUCAGUUGGGCACUCUAGCGAGACUGCCGGUAAUAAACCGGAGGAAGGUGGGGAUGACGUCAAAUCAUCAUGCCCCUUAUGACCUGGGCUACACACGUGCUACAAUGGCUGGUACAACGAGUCGCAAGUCGGUGACGGCAAGCUAAUCUCUUAAAGCCAGUCUCAGUUCGGAUUGUAGGCUGCAACUCGCCUACAUGAAGUCGGAAUC